rnacentral:tRNA from 1 species
AAUUUAAUUGUGCAAUUCAAUUUAAUUUGAUAACUUUAUUCUUACUUUAUUUUAUGAUUUUAUUUUGAGAAAUAUC